CUCAACGCAUCUGUUUCCCAAAUCAAUUCCCGCUCCCUCAUUUCAAUACACCCUUUCCAUUCUCCCGCCAUUCCCAAUUCAUAAAACCCUAAAUCGAACCCCUAAUAUUCAAUUUCUUCAACAAAAUCAUCUCUUUUUUUCGCUUUCAAUUCCAUCUAACCCUAAAAUCACACCUCAAAAGGCAAAAAAGGAAUAAAAAGACCUAGAACAAGCUUCUCCUCUGUUCUUUUACCUUCCUUGUGCGGUGGUGAUUUUAAUUGUUGUCCUUCUUUCCCCCCGAUUUUGUAUUUAGGAUUUUAGAUGAAGGUUUUAGAACCUCAGGGUAUGGUUUUGUUUUAAUUUGAUAGAAAGACGAUAGAUAAUGAGUGCAGUGAAUCUUACUAACGUUACCGUACUAGAUAAUCCGGCGCCGUUUCCGUCUCCCUUUCAGUUCGAGAUCUCAUACGAGUGCUUGACUCCUCUUAAAGACGAUUUGGAAUGGAAACUAAUCUACGUGGGGUCUGCUGAGGAUGAAACAUAUGAUCAACUAUUGGAGAGUGUACUUGUUGGGCCUGUCAAUGUUGGAAAUUAUCGUUUUGUCUUACAGGCAAACCCACCAGAUCCAUCAAAGAUUCGUGAAGAAGAUAUCAUUGGUGUCACAGUACUUUUGUUGACAUGCUCUUAUUUAGGUCAGGAAUUUGUUCGAGUUGGCUACUAUGUGAACAAUGAUUACGAAGAUGAGCAGCUUAGAGAGGAACCUCCACCUAAAGUGUUGAUUGAUAAGGUCCAAAGAAACAUCCUAUCUGAUAAACCCAGGGUUACAAAGUUCCCUAUCAAUUUUUAUCCUGAAAAUACUGAGGCAGCAGAGGAACCCCCUGAGAAUGAUCAACCUGCUAAAACUGAUGGAAAUGAAGAACAAUUGCCUGCUUCUCCACAUCAUGCUUUAGAUAAAGAGGGACCUUGAAUUUUACAAUCAGCAUCAACUACUAACCUCCCAAGUUUCUCAUUCAGGUUUCACAUCAUCAGGGUCAUUUUAGGCGAUGCCUUUUGCCAUAUAUUUUGAUGUGAGGCACGUGUUGAACUUUUUUAGCUAGAAAUUGAGGAAGUGAUGGUUUGUAUACUGACUGGGGUUAACUGGCUGUUUUUUGGUUUUGUUUGUUUUUUGUCACUAAUACAGUUGAUUUGCUGAAGAUGGUCUUAGUUUGUGUGAACUGAUAAUAUAAAUAGAUGCAUCUCAGUAUUGGGAGGUAUUCGUGCAUGCAUGAUAUGAAGCAGCAAGAUGAUCAUUGUGAUCUGCCGUAAUGAUGCCUCGAUGUGGAUGGUAGUUGAGGUUGAUCUGUAUCCCUAAUGGACUGCCUUUUCACUUUUCUCCAGAGGCAGAUGCGGUGCCACUCAUAGUAGCGGCCAGAAUCAAAGUAAAAAACUUGCUGCUGAGUUUGAUUCAGUCAAAUUCUAAAUCAAACUCCAUUUGUUAGAAAAGGAUUUAAAUUUUGUUCUUUAAUCUUCGAACAAAUUUGAGGUUGUUCGCUUGCCUAACCUUUAUAGUUUUGAUGUAUUGUUAGCGUAAACAUUGGCACCACUAAUUUGAAUUCAACCUCCAAUUGUUUCAUUCAUGCUUCA